rnacentral:lncRNA from 1 species
UUAUGGGUUUCAUCUCUACUGUAUUUUCUUUUCCUUGCAGAUUCCCUUGAGGUUCUACGGCUUCCCUGGCAGCCGGCAAAGCAGAGAUGCUCCCACCUGGCUGGUUGUCGUCACACCUGUUUAUGUGGAGUGUUGGAUCUGUGGUCUCGGCGAUACUCAUGAUUCUGCUGCUGCUUCUCUGCCUUCCCUUUAAGAGGAACAAGCGGCAGCUAUCGCCGACCAUGCCUAAGAGAAAUGUGGACACGUCUGAACUCAUCAGCGUGACUAAGCUAGAAGACCAUCCAAAUCCAGAAGACAUGACCCUCAGAGAGGAGACGUCAAAGAAAGGAAGGCCUCUCUCCAGCCNCCAAGCCGAGAAGGAAACCAAUGGACUUUCUGCAGGCUUUGAGCAAGAAAAUGCUGCUUCUGCGAAGGACGGAUGCACUGCAGGCCCAAACCAGCAAAGCCUGGAGAAGUCCGGAAAGUCGGAUUUGGACCAUUUGGGAAUCUCGGGUGCACAUCCGUCGUGCCCUCCUGCACCCUCUCCAAGGCCCAUGCAGUUCAGAAAGCUCCCGCUGACUCCGAAAGAAGCCCAUAUAUCUAAGAUGGAACCGCAGAACCAGAGCACGGACAGCCAGGUCUAUGAGUGCAUUGAGGAUGAAAAAGUAAGCGGACUCAGCAUCGGUGAUGAGCCAGCCAUCAUGAAGGGCUGCGGUCCACCCACCGGCCCGAUCUCUGCCACAGCAGGGGAUGCCUUGGUUGAAACUGGCAGGAAGGAUACAACGCCGUGCCAGUCCAUGGACAUUCCUGUGCAGGUGACUGCAGUUCUGCAUUGCAGUGAAGAGACGCAGGAAACAAGGCCUCCGAACACGGACACNGACGCGGAGAGGAGGCUCAGCGCCAUGUACGCUCGGGUGUGCAAGAGGCCCAAGGCGUCACAAGGUCUGCAGCCAAAGAGUCACAGUAAAACUACAGAACCGGAAGAGGAAGAGCCCCCGCCCAUCCCCGAGAAGCAUUUCGAGAAUAUCUACGAGAGCCUGAACCUGGAGGGGCAGGGUGUCGAGAUGCCAAACGCGGUGAUCCCACCAGAAGCGUGAACGGAGAGGAGCAGAGGGNCAGACUCAAACCAGACUGAAACCGCUUAGAGCUCUUGGGGUGUGCGUGUGUUUUCCAUUUUCUGAGUCUCCCAGGGAAAAAAGAAGAAGCACAGAGCUUUGGGUGGUGCUAAAAGUAGCACACAAGCUGCACUUUACAUGCCGUUUUCUAGGAGAAAUGGUGGUGGUGGUGUGCUGCACCGUGGCACGCUGAGAUCUGAACGGGUCUUCUAGACUUGCACUGCCGGAAUCUCUUGUGUUUCACGUGGCACGAGGCAUCCCACCCGACUCAGGGCCGAAGAGAGCGGCUGGCAUCGACAGGAGAAAUGUGCUGCCUUUGAUGGUUCUGUGUCCAGCUCCGGAGACUCUGCAACAGUUUUUAAAGAAAAACAACACUGCAACUUUUUAAAGCGACAACAGUCCAACCGUCUCCACCACACCACACCACACCACACCACGCUACAUCCUUCUCAGGUUUUUAAAUUCUUUGGAAUGAAUAAAAUUAUUUUGUCUUCAAAUCA